CAAUAGCGUAUAUUAAAGUUGUUGCAGUUAAAAAGCUCGUAGUUGGAUUUCUGGAUGGAGCGACCGGUCGGGCAUUAAUUUGUCUGCACUGGAGUCGGUUCCGUCCAUCCUCUUGGAAAGUGCGUCGGGCAUUAAGUUGUUUGGCGUAUGAUCCAAGUCGUUUACUGUGAAAAAAUUAGAGUGUUUAAAGCAGGCCUUCGCCUUGAAUACAUUAGCAUGGAAUAAUAAGAUAGGACUUUGGUCUAUUUUGUUGGUUUGCAGACCGAAGUAAUGAUUAAUAGGGAUAGUUGGGGGUAUUUAUAUUCCGAUGUCAGAGGUGAAAUUCUUAGAUUUUCGGAAGAUAAACUUAUGCGAAAGCAUUUACCAAGGAUGCUUUCAUUAA
rnacentral:rRNA from 1 species